UACGGAGGGUGCAAGCGUUGUCCGGAAUCACUGGGCGUAAAGGGCGCGUAGGCGGCUCAUGAAGGCUGUGGUGAAAGUCCGGGGCUCAACCUCGGAUCGGCCGUGGCGACUCGUGGGCUGGAGCACUGUAGAGGCGGGUGGAAUUCCGGGUGUAGCGGUGGAAUGCGUAGAGAUCCGGAAGAACACCGACGGCGAAGGCAGCGUCCUGGCCGAGCACUGACGCUCAGGCACGAAAGCGCGGGGAGCAAACAGG
rnacentral:rRNA from 1 species